GUUUUUGAAGCUGCGCUUAAAGACUUCAGUUCAGUCACAGGAAAGCUGCAAGAUUCUGGAGCUGUCACCAGGGAGAGUCUAACCAAGAAUGAACAGCUGCUUAUCCCCUACUACCUGGAAGCCAUCUUGCUAAGGCUUCUGCAGCAGCCUGGAGUGGUCACUAAGAAGACUAAGUCUGAACUCUUUAUUACUCACUCUUUUCAAGAAUAACUUAAUUUGCAAACAUUUUUUGAACAAGUGUUAGUUACACCUUAGCAUAGUUGUUCAGAGUUAGACUAUAUUGUGCCGUUAUUUUACAAUUUAGUUAUUUUUUAAAUUAUUUUCUUUACUCUGUUUUAUCUCUCAACUCUCUUUUUGCAGGUUAAGGAAUGGGAAGGGAAAAUUCACAACGAGGCCGGUGUUUCUAUUGCUGUGAAGAAGCCUAAAACAACUGCAUUACAAAUAGCAGAAGUGCCACUGUAGGACAAAAUGAAACUUGUAAGUUUAAAUAGGAAUCUAAAUCAUAAAGCCAUAAUAGCAAGUUAAAUAUAAUGUAAAUUUACUGGUUCUUUGGUUUCUCUUGCACUUCAGUGAGGUGUGGCCAGUGAUGUGUCAGCCAGCUCAUUUUUUGUGUCGAGCACCGGGAGACCAAUUUAUAAACCAUCAAAUGAUUUUAAAAAGGCUUCAAUACAGACAACCAUCUAGUGCACCUGCCAGCUGAGAGAUGAGCAGACGCCCUACAGCAGUCGGGCAGAGUCCUAUCCAGUGACC
rnacentral:lncRNA from 1 species